rnacentral:rRNA from 1 species
GACGAACCGUGCGAACGUUGUUCGGAAUCACUGGGCUUAAAGGGCGCGUAGGCGGGCUGCCAAGUCUGGGGUGAAAUCCUCCGGCUCAACCGGAGAACGGCCUCGGAUACUGGCGGUCUCGAGGGAGGUAGGGGCGUGCGGAACUGUAGGUGGAGCGGUGAAAUGCGUUGAUAUCUACAGGAACUCCGGUGGCGAAAGCGGCGUGCUGGACCUUUUCUGACGCUGAGGCGCGAAAGCUAGGGGAGCAAACGGG